CAGAGGUUGACUCACUGAACACCAAAGCCAGGAUAUAUGAAACUUGCCUUGAAGCAUGACUCAUCUUUUAUUCAGCUUCAGAAGAAACAUUUAAGUCUUUGUUUCAUUUCCAGGGUAAGUUUUGAUUGCUUUAGAGA
rnacentral:lncRNA from 1 species